rnacentral:rRNA from 1 species
CUGCGAAUGGCUCAUUAAAUCAGUUAUCGUUUAUUUAUAGUACCUUACUACACGGAUAUCUGUGGUAAUUCUAGAGUUAAUACGUGCUAAAAACCUCGACUUCGGAAGGGGUGUAUUUAUUAGACAAAAAACCAAUGCCCUUCGGGGCUCCUUGGUGAUUCAUAAUAACUCAACGAAUCGCAUGGCCUUGCGCCGGCGAUGGUUCAUUCAAAUUUCUGCCCUAUCAACUUUCGAUGCUAGGGUAGUGGCCUAGCAUGGUUACAACGGGUAACGGGGAAUUAGGGUUCUAUUCCGGAGAGGGAGCCCGAGAAACGGCUACCACAUCCAAGGAAGGCAGCAGGCGCGCAAAUUACCCAAUCCCGACUCGGGGAGGUAGUGACAAUAAAUACUGAUACAGGGCUCUUUUGGGUCUUGUAAUUGGAAUGAGUACGAUUUAAAUACCCUAACGAGGAACAAUUGGAGGGCAAGUCUGGUGCCAGCAGCCGCGGUAAUUCCAGCUCCAAUAGCGUAUAUUAAAGUUGUUGCAGUUAAAACGCUCGUCGUUGAACCUUGGGCCUGGGCGACCGGUCUCCCUCACCGGAUGCACUGGUUCGGCCGGGCCUUUCCUUCUGGGGAUCCGCAUGCCCUUCGCUGGGCGUGUCGGGGAACCAGGACUUUUACUUUGAAAAAAUUAGAGUGUUCAAAGCAGGCCUUUGCUCGAAUACCUUAGCAUGGAAUAAUAGAAUAGGACGUGCGGUCCUAUUUUGUUGGUUUCUAGGACCGCCGUAAUGAUUAAUAGGGUCAGUCGGGGGCAUCAGUAUUCAAUUGUCAGAGGUGAAAUUCUUAGAUUUAUUGAAGACUAACUACUGCGAAAGCAUUUGCCAAGGAUGUUUUCAUUAAUCAGUGAACGAAAGUUAGGGGAUCGAAGACGAUCAGAUACCGUCGUAGUCCUAACCAUAAACUAUGCCGACUAGGGAUCGGGCGAUGUUAUCAUUUGACUCGCUCGGCACCUUACGAAAAUCAAGUGUUUGGUUCUGGGGGGAGUAUGUCCCAGGUGAAA